rfam:Myotis davidii contig102890, whole genome shotgun sequence.
CUUGCACCGGUGGGGUCCUUCGGCCUGGCCUGUGCCCUCUCACAAUCUGAGACCCCUUGAGGGAUGUCAGAGAGCCAGUAUUGGCCUGAUUCCACAGGCCAGGCCGAGGGACCCCACUGGUGCAUA